AGCGAACGCUGGCGGCGUGCCUAACACAUGCAAGUCGAGCGAGAAAGGGGGCUUCGGCCUCCGAGUACAGCGGCGAACGGGUGCGUAACACGUGGGUGACCUGCCCUCAGCUCUGGGAUAAGCCUGGGAAACCGGGUCUAAUACUGGAUAUGACUCCAUGACGCAUGUUGUGGGGUGGAAAGCCUUGUGCGGCUGAGGAUGGGCCCGCGGCCUAUCAGCUUGNGGUGGGUGAUGGCCUACCAAGGCGACGACGGGUAGCCGGCCUGAGAGGGCGACCGGCCACACUGGGACUGAGACACGGCCCAGACUCCUACGGGAGGCAGCAGUGGGGAAUCUUGCGCAAUGGGCGAAAGCCUGACGCAGCGACGCCGCGUGAGGGAUGACGGCCU
rnacentral:rRNA from 1 species